rnacentral:tRNA from 1 species
GUGUUGGUGAUUCAGUAGCAAAAUUUUCGCCUUCCGUGCUGGAGACCCGGGUUCAAUUCCUGGCCAGUGCA